UAAGUUAUUCAGCAUAUCCUUUGACGUUUUCUGAAAGGACAUCUUUUUGGGUGUUUUAUCAACUAAAGAGGCAAGUCCAUCUGGUUGCUGAAAGCAAAAAAGGCACUAACUUUGAAGAUUACAAACAUAUAUCCAUGUACAUAAUAGGAUCAUAAUCAAAAAAAAUAGAUUUCAUUCAUAAGAAACAUCUUCAACUUUAUUUCUCCAUGUUAACGCAGAUCCUUUAGGCCCAGCUUUGUUGCAAGAAUUUUAUCCCGGAGAUGGAGAUUUAUCCCCAUCUAGAACUUUUGUCCUGGGGAUCAGCUAUUUUUCUGUUUGGUUCAUCUUUUUCCACUGUGGUUGCCUGGGGUAAGUAUGUUAGGCUUGGGUUAAUAAGAGGGGUGAGGGAGAUAGAGAGAAAAUCAUCUUUCUAAACAAACAUACAGCCCUUGCAUUCUCAACCAUCAUUUAGCACAGAAUGUGGACAAGCCUGCGCACCUAGGCAUAGCUAAUACUCAUGUGGGCUUAGAAUGGUCCAGCUUAGCCAUCUCAAACUCACAUAUGGACUAAGGCCCGUUUGCCAAAGCUUUUGGCACUUUCUGGCCCUCAAAAAGUACUAUUGGAUGAUAUGAUAAUGUUUGAUAAAAAAUCGAAAAGGCUUUGCCAGAAAGCUGAAAAAGUCUACUUGAAAAAAGCUCUAUUUUGGAGCUUCUCCCAAAAAUGCUUUCUAAACAAUGUUAGAAAUCUAUUUUGGUUUUAAUAAAAAAUUUCUGAUUACCAAAACAUCCACCAACAAAUCUCACGAUUACAUCUUAUAUCAUGUCAUAUCAUAUUAUAAUAUAUUAUUAUACUAUAAAUAUAAUAUAAUAUAAGAAUAAAUUAAUAUUAUAUUAUAUUAUAUUAUUACAUUAUAAUAGUAUAAUAUAUUAUAUUAUUGUAGUAAUACAUAAUAUAUAUUAUAUGAUUAAUAAUAUAAAAGAUAAUAUAUUAGAUUCUAUUACAUUAUAUUAUAUCCUGUUAUAUGAUUAUAUUAUAACAAUAUUAUAUUAUUAUUAAAUAUAUAAACAAUAAGAAAAGAUAUGUGCUUGAGUAAGAAAAGAUUUUAUAUAUUAUAUUAUUAAUAUUAAUUAUUCAUUAAAAUAUAUCGCAAUAAUUUAUUAUCUAUUAAAUAAUAUGAUAUUAUAUAUAUUAUAUUCUUUUUAUAUUAUUUUUAAUAUUAAAUCAUAUAUUAAUUAUAUAUAUUCAUAAUAUAUGUUAUUGAUAUUAUGUUAUUACCGUUUAUAUUGUAUAUUAUAUCAUAUUUCAUAAUAUAUUAUCAAUGAUAUUAUUUUCUUAUCAUAAUAUAUUAUGUUAUAUCUUAUAUACUAUACAAUUAAACUAUUAUAAUUAAUAUUAUUAUAAUUUCGACAGAUGUGCCAGUAUAAAGGGUAUUUUGACAUAUGUAGAAAGUAAGAGGGGUAUAGGUAGACCGAAAAUCGCAUGGAAUAUAGUAGUAAAAAAGGACUUCGUAUCUCAACAUCUUUUAAAAAAUAUAGCCCUAAACUGAGUAGAAUGGAGAAAUAGGAUUCAUGCAGCUGAUCCCGACUAGUUUAGAGUAAAGCUUAAUUGAGUUGAGUUGAGUUAAUACUUAAUAGUAUUAUAAUUAUUUUACUAUUAAAUAUAUUUUACAGUUAUUAUGUUAUAAAAUCAAUAUCAUUAGAUUAUUUAUUAUAUUACUUCUAGUUGCAUUAUUUUUUAUCGUAAUAAUCUUAUUUUUAGUACUAAUAUCAAUAAUAUUAUUACAUAAUAUGUAUGUUAUAGAUAAUAUAACUUAAAUAAUAUUGAUAACAUAUUAUUAUAGUAGAAGAUUAUAUAUUAUUAUAGUAAUAAUAUUAAUAUGAUUAUAUAUUUAUUUUUCAAUAAUAUAUUGUAUAUUAUAUGCAAUGUAUAUUUGCAUCGUUUUAUUACCAUUACAAAAAGUAUUAAUAAUAUUACUUACUAAUAUUAUGAUAUUAAUACUAAUUUUAUAAUUAUUCUGAAAAUAAAAAAUUAUGAUAAGCAAGGUUCACCAUACCGGUCAAUACCAGUACGUAUCGACCGUACCCGUACUGAACCGGUACGCAGUAUAAGGAACGUACCGACACUCGGUACAUUGAAUCGACUGUUGUAGGGGACAUACCUACACUGCAAUUGAUGGUACUGAUAAAGGGUUCGGUAACGAGACGACGAACCUUGGUUAUAAGGUUAAUUUUAAUAUCACCAUACCAAUAAUAUUAAAAUUAUGAAAUACUACAACAUAUCAUAUUAAAAUUAUAUAGUAAAUACAAUUAUAAACUAUAUAGUGUUAUAUUAUAUUAUAUUAUAUUAUAUUAUAUUAUUUAUACAUUAUAUUAUUUAGAUUAUCAUUAUCAUGAUAUUAUAUAAUAUAAAUAUAAUUGAAUCCUAUUACUAAUAUUACAAGUAUUAAUAUAAUAAUAUUAUUAAUAUUGUAAUAUUAAUGUUUUAUAUUAAUAUUAUUAAAUAUUAUUAUUAAAUAUAAAAACAUAUAUUAUUAUAUAUGUUAAUAUCGAUAUACUAAUAUUGCUAUUAGGUCAGUUUCAUUGCCUAGGGAUUUACUUGACCUAUCCAAACAUAGGAAUCAAACGAAUCAUUCCUGACAAUUCCUAAGAAUAGAUUUUAUGGGAAUGGUUUUCCCAUUCCUGCUUUGCAUUCCUAACAACUGAACAUGGCCUUAGGGGUAACUGUGGUCUUGCAAGCCAUUUUAUUCACGAACUAGGUAGGAGGUGGUUAUCUGAGGUUCCAAGCCACUUCAAACUCUCUCAUGGAUCGAAGUAUGACUGCUAAUUAUUUCAUCUCCAACAUGUGAAAAUAUAAGUGCUAAUGAGACAAUAAAUUAAUCUAUAAAUAAUGCAAAAGAAAAAAUGCAAUCAGUUUGACACUUCAUGGGAGCUAAAUUCAAUUAGAAAUCAAUAACCUACAAAGACUUAUGUACCAUCACUAAACUGCAAGUCAUAAGAACCAAAAUGAGAAAAAUAACAAACAAGAGAUGACCCCACAUUGUUAACAAUUAAAAAUCCUUCUUACUUCAUCUUCAAGUGAAAUAAUUGGAGAUAUGCAAGAAAGCAAAAAGAAAGUAUUAUGACCAUCAAACCUAAGCAAGAGAACAAGAAAAAUAAAGACCAAAGCAUUCCCAAAAUGGCAAUAAAACUAAACAAACAAAAUUAUAAGGACUUGAAACAUAUUUUUAUCAUGCAUUUUGACAUUGAAAUAGGAAUUUUGCAACUUGCUUAGCAAAGACAAUACCCUCAGAAGUUCUUGAAAAAGAAACAUUAUUUUACGAGUUUGAUAGAUAUAAAUCAGCAAGCCACAAAAUACCAGGCUACCAGCAAUAGAGAAAGAUAAACAAUUUUCUUAAGGCUAACAUAAUAAACAUAUUAAAAUAUUAUUUGAUUCUGCUAAACUGCAUGUAAUAUUAAAAUGUAAACUCUUUUCAAUAGAUUUGAAAAAGAAAGUCAAUAGCAGGGUAGAAUUUAAGUUUCUACACUUCUGUACUGUCACAGAAGCUCUUCAAGAGUAGAAAGUGGCUUAUAGUCCAAUCAAAGUCACUAUGUAUGGCUGGUAUAUAUGGCAAAGCUUGUGUACACAUUUUUUUCAACUGUUUUACUCACUUUGAAGAGUAAGUAUUAGAUGUUGUAACUCGUCAUUAACAAUACUGAAGUAAAGCACCAAAAGUUCUCAAGACAAACAGAAGUUCAGAAAUUUUAAAGGAGAAGGGGAGACACUGCUGUACAUGAUAUUUUUAUUGGGGAUUAUAAGACAUGAUCACCAUCAAAUGAUGCCAAUGAGAAUUAGACUCUACCACCAAAGCUUUCAAACAAAUUGAAGUCAACUUUCAUAACAAAUAUCUAAAUGUUCAAGUAGAAAGGACAUGAACUUUCAGGAGCCUUCUAGUAUUAUGUUAUAACUCCAAAAGAACUCAUCGAAAUCAUGAUCUAUUUUUCAUUUCCAAUGAUUUCGAUAAAAUUCAACAUUUCUUCUAUGUUUCAUGUUUUUAGAAGCAGAAUAAAAUCUCAGCAUUGACACAAUCAUUUGAUAAUGUAUGAUGUUUUUUAUAUGAAACUGAUACACCAUGAAAGAAUCCUUAGUUAAAACCUUGUCUGAAACUAAAUUUAUGCAUUGAGGCAUAAGAACGUCAUAUAAUACUUAAGAACACUGUACAUAUAAUGCUUAGCAGAAUAGACGAUAUAAUCAGAAUUUUUUCUAAUAGAUAGGAAUUAUACUUGAAAAUUCUUUUUUAUUAGCAAAUGCAAUACUUAAUUGACCAUAUGUGAGCCUGAAACAUUAUAAGAAAAAUAUGGAUGAACUAUCAUUAGCUUUAAAAUUUUCUUUCUGGAAGAAGGUUACUUUCAAAAAUCAAGGUUUAAAAAACAGUGUCUUGAUUAUUUAUGUUCUUAAAAAAAGAGGAAGAUUUGAUGGAUAGAGAAAUUGACCACCAAAAUUCUAAUUGAUUUGCAUUCUUGUGAUUAUCACAAUAUUGACAUUUAAUCCUCCUAAAAAGAUUACAUUAUGCAUGACAGGCAAAUUAGACAUGAUUAUGGCAUAAGAAAAACAUAAAAAGACAAACCACGUUGUGUAUGGCCACUAAAUUUUCUAUCAAGUUACAGUGUUAAGGUAAGAAGAGGCAAAAGGCAUAUGAAAAUAGUCUUGUUUUCCCAAUAACCAGUUUAACAUAUUCAAAAUCCAAAGUAAAAGAGCUCUAAGAACAGGAUAUAGUAAAUCUACAAAAGAACUAAUGAUCCACAUAUUUAUUGCAAGAACUUCUUACAGCAAGCUAGUAGAUGACGAUACAAUGGGAAUGGGUGUAUUGGUAUCUCACCCGAAAAGGACAAGGCGUUAGGGUUCCAAACAGAUCAUCUUUCAAGUCAGCUGCAUUCAUGGAGUAUAAAGCAUUUUUCAGUCCACGAGAAGCGAGAUACUCCUCUGUUUCUUUAUGGAGAGAGUAACCUUUGUACACACUGACAGAGGGAUCAGAUACCUAUAUGAAAAGAAAUCACCAAUACAUAUUAGGAACUUUUAAAUACCCAGAAGCAUUAUAUACACUACUGUGUGAAUUGAUUGCAACAGUUUCUGGCCAUCGUAUAUCUCUAGAGACAGGUUACAUCUACUUUGCAAGAUGAACAAAUCGCUAACUUGCCAACAAAACAAGCUUCAUUUAUAGGAACUGGGGGAAGUGCUCGUAGCUGUACUAACUACGAUUACAUGAAUACAUUAGCAAGAAAAAUGAGCAUUUAUUAGAUCUUAUUUCAUAGGUACCUGCUGAUGAUAACAAUAAAACACUUGGGCUGGAUAAGUGGAAUAGCAAAACCAUUAAUCAUCUAAUCCUUCAGCAACUUUGAAACAAAAAUGGGUUUAUUAUGGAUUCAUAUGAUGAGUGCCCCACCUUUAAGUCUCGGAUGUCUAGAGCCUUCACCAUUAUCUUAUAUUUUCAGUUGGAAACAGAUAGUUUCACCUACAUACUGAUUAUUAUGUUCUAGACAAAGCUAUAUACCUAUUGUUAACAUAAGAUAUAACUAGAUGUAGGAAUGUCUAGAACUCUUAGUUCUUCCACUUCCUUCACAUCCCCUGCUCCUCUAUUAUGUCUCCUCAAGCCCCAUCUUACUUCCACCUGCCACCAGUUUCCGCCACUUCCACCCCNNNNNNNNNNNNNNNNNNNNNNNNNNNNNNNNNNNNNNNNNNNNNNNNNNUAAGUUAUUCAGCAUAUCCUUUGAGUUUUCUGAAAGGACAUCUUUUGGGUGUUUUAUCAACUAAAGAGGCAAGUCCAUCUGGUUGCCGAAAAGGACAAGGCGUUAGGGUUCCAAACAGAUCAUCUUUCAAGUCAGCUGCAUUCAUGGAGUAUAAAGCAUUUUUCAGUCCACGAGAAGCAAGAUACUCCUCUGUUUCUUUAUGGAGAGAGUAACCUUUGUACACACUGACAGAGGGAUCAGAU
rnacentral:lncRNA from 1 species